rnacentral:tRNA from 9 species
GCGCGUAUGGCGGAAUUGGCAGACGCACUAGACUUAGGAUCUAGCGCCUUUGGCGUGGGGGUUCAAGUCCCUCUACGCGCACCA